AGCUGGUCCCACCGAGAACAUCCGGAGUUGCCCAGAGCUGUUUUCCUUGUGGCUUCUUCGGGAGCAGGCACGCUGCCUUCAGUGUUUACAGUCAGCAAUUUCAAAUGUGCUGACACGGAGAACAGCGACCACAGAGUCCGCACAGACCAGCAAGGAAGAGAAACCCCAGGCGGAAGGGCUCGGCGGGACGUGAGGCGUCGCUCCUCCCGAGGGUGGCCGAGGUCCGCCCCGGAGGCCCCCGGCUCAUAGAUGCCGGAUGCGCGGUGGGGAGAGAAGGCGCUCACCUCAUUCUGCUUUUUUCUUCCAUCACGGCUUCAUCCCAAGGCCAAGGGUCAAAAACCCCACUCACUGUAAUUACAAGAAAACCAUGUACAUCUGGGGCUGAAAAGCAUAGCCAGAAAGAAUGGCCAGCUGUCCACCAAAGCUGGAAGCAGCAGGUUCUAAAUCCCAUGGACAAACUUCAAGAUGGAAGGACCUGGCUGCUUGUCCACUGAAUUCCCACACUGGACUAUUGCACAAGAGAGAAAUGAACUUUUUGUUAUUGUGGUGACAGGAGGCUGAAAUGAGAGAAGAGUUGUCCGUUCUGCUGGAUCGGGUUACUGCUAACUGUGCAUCACACAAGUCAUUCGUAGUGCUUGGUAAAAAGAAGGAUUCCUGGGCCUCUUUCCUGAAAAUUCUGUCAGUAGUUCUAAGGAGCAACCUGGGAUCCAUGUUGUUAACACAUGUCAUGGACUCCCGUGCCUGGCCACACCUGGGAGACCCCACCCUCAUCUGUCCAGAUGUCCUACCUGCGAUCUUGUAUAAGUUGCUUCACUUUCACAUUUUAUCUCCCUGGAAUACAGAGGAUAAAAUUUAUGAUCUAUGAAACAAAUGUCUGCUGAGAUGAAGGUGAUGCCCAUGAAAACAGCCAAACUCCUUACAUCAUGAGAUUUACAUACAAACCCCAAUGAUGAUGAUAAUUAAUUACUGUUAGCAUCUGUGCUCUGGAUUGCUAUUUUAUGUUUUAAAAUUCACUUUAUCAAAAAACAAAUCCACUUCAUUUUAAGAGGGGAGGGUGUGGGUAAAAAACAAGUUCUAUGUUUCCGUGGAAAGCUUUUCUAAGAAUUUCUGCUGCGCUGAUGGGUGUUUAGCAGGGAGCUCACACUGAGCUGACCGUCCACCCAUGACAAGUACGGCUGCUUCCAGAAUGCAGAGAGCAGGGCAGGAGCCACAGGGAAGCUCCACAGGUGAGACCAGUAGCUAGAGGUGAGGGCAAUUUAACACAAGGGUAUUCAGGCAGCAACUGGUUCUGUGGCAGAUUACCAUAUGGAACAGGGAUGGAUGCAAGAGAUUCACUUUGCAUGAGAACUAUCUUCUGCAGUCCAGCUGGCUCUGCACCACUUUAUUUUCUGUUCAGCUCACAGGUCCCAUCCUUCUCUCUGAAUAUUCUAAAAUCUUUCACACCAAAAUGCCAACUACAGCCAAGCCCUCUAUGUAACUCAAAAGUCAAACUGCUUCUUGUCCCUGAUUGCAAUUUUCUUCUAUAUCCAUUAUCCAAACACAGAGAGCAUUUCCCUCUAUAUCCAUAAUCAAACAAAGAGGGCAAACCACGUAGAGGCUUAUUUCCUGGGAAAUAAUCCGAGUAGUUAAGAAAACUUGUUUGAAUGACAUCGCGAGUUUUCUAAAAUAUCUUAGAAGUAAAUCUUGAUAUUUUCUAAGGAAUAAUUUGAAGAAUUCUUUUAAUCUGAAAGUUUCUCUAUGAAAUAGAGGGCAGUGGAGGGAGAUCAAUACAUUUAGAUCACAAGUUUUCUGCUUACUUUCUGGAGAACAUUCUAAUUUUUAAAAUAUCAGGUCCCAAAAGGGAAAGCAUAUUCACCAAAAAGAGAGAUGAAAAUGUAAAGGGAUGGAUGUUAAUUAGAUGGGUGGAAUCCUUUCACUAUGUAUGUGCUGUGCUUAGCUCAGUCGUGUCUGACUCUUUGCGACCCCAUGGACUAGCCCACCAGGUUCCUCUGUCCACGGGGAUUCUCCAGGCAAGAAUACUGGAGUGGGUUGCCAUGCCCUCCUCCCGGGGAUCUUCCCAAUCCAGGGAUCAAACUGGGGUUUCCCACAUUGCAGGCAGAUUCUUUACCAGCUGAGCUACCAGAGAAGCCCUUCACAAUGUGUGUGUGUGUGUGUAUAUAUAUAUAUAUAUAUAUCAUAUCACCAUGAUGUACACUUUAAAUACCUUAUAAUUUUAUUUGUCAAUUGUACCUCAA